rnacentral:misc_RNA from 1 species
AGCCCUUAUAUUCAGCCGCCACCUGCUUCUCACAAAGCCAACCUGCCAAUUCCAUUCUAUGGCCUUAUAAUAAUUGGGACAGCAGCUAUCCUAUUAGUCAUGUACAAUCUUAUCUUCAUCAAGUGGUGCUCGAAUCGUCGAAGUCAGGACCUGUCAGCCCAGAGACCUGGCCGAUUUAUAGAGGCAACAGCAAGUAGCCACAGUUUGAACUCGUCCACUUUCAAGUUCAGGAAGGAUGAUAAUAUGGGUUCCCAAGGCCAGGGAAGCGAUUAUGAAUGUGCUGUUUGCUUGUCGGUUUUUGAAGAGGGAGAGGAGAUCAGGCAAUUGCCCGGAUGCAACCACUCCUUUCAUGCUCCUUGUAUA